rnacentral:rRNA from 1 species
AACGAACGCUGGCGGCGGGCUUAACACAUGCAAGUCGAGCGCCCCGCAAGGGGAGCGGCAGACGGGUGAGUAACGCGUGGGAACAUACCCUUUCCUGCGGAAUAGCUCCGGGAUACUGGAAUUAAUACCGCAUACGCCCUACGGGGGAAAGAUUUAUCGGGGAAGGAUUGGCCCGCGUUGGAUUAGCUAGUUGGUGGGGUAAAGGCCUACCAAGGCGACGAUCCAUAGCUGGUCUGAGAGGAUGAUCAGCCACAUUGGGACUGAGACACGGCCCAAACUCCUACGGGAGGCAGCAGUGGGGAAUAUUGGACAAUGGGCGCAAGCCUGAUCCAGCCAUGCCGCGUGAGUGAUGAAGGCCUUAGGGUUGUAAAGCUCUUUCACCGGAGAAGAUAAUGACGGUAUCCGGAGAAGAAGCCCCGGCUAACUUCGUGCCAGCCGCCGCCGUAA